GGCAAGCUUGAUGGUAAAGCAAAGUUUGAUGGGAAGAACAAGGCUGUGCAGCACACGAACUUCAAGAAGAAGAAUGACAAGAAGAAAGGUGUUUGUCAUGUGUGUGGAGAUCCUGAUCAUUGGGCUCCUAGUUGCCCCAAUCGCUAUGACAAGCGUCAUCCUGGGAAAGGCGGCAAGACCGCUAAUGUUGUCAUUGAAGACACUGGCAUGAAGGAUGUUGGGUAUCGUAUAUUUCCCACUAUUCUUUCAGUAUGUCAUUCUCCUGAUUGGUUGAUUGACACGGGUGCUAAUGUGCAUGUAUGCGGUGAUAUUUCCAUGUUUUCGUCUUAUCAGACCGCAGGGACUUCAACCGUGCUGAUGGGCAACGGUUCAAGUGCUUCUGUUCGUGGUGUUGGCAUGGUCGAUCUGAAGUUUACUUCGGGGAAGAUCGUGCGGCUGAAGAACGUGCAUUAUGUCCCCUCCGUCAAUAAAAAUCUUGUUAGCGGAUCUCUUCUGUGUAGAGAUGGCUACAAGCUUGUCUUUGAGUCGAAUAAAUUUGUAAUAUCCAAGUAUGGAACCUUUGUAGGUAAAGGCUAUGAGUCAGGAGGCCUGUUUCGUUUAUCCUUGUUAGACGUUUGCAAUAAAGUUGUUAAUCAUGUUUGCAACAAUAGUGAAUCAAAUGUGUGGCAUUCACAUCUUUGUCAUGUUAAAUUUGGUUGCAUG
rnacentral:rRNA from 1 species